rnacentral:rRNA from 1 species
UACGUAGGGUGCGAGCGUUGUCCGGAAUUAUUGGGCGUAAAGAGCUUGUAGGCGGUCUGUCGCGUCUGCUGUGAAAAUCCGGGGCUCAACCCCGGGCUUGCAGUGGGUACGGGCAGACUAGAGUGUGGUAGGGGAGACUGGAAUUCCUGGUGUAGCGGUGAAAUGCGCAGAUAUCAGGAGGAACACCGAUGGCGAAGGCAGGUCUCUGGGCCGCUACUGACGCUGAGAAGCGAAAGCAUGGGGAGCGAACAGG